rnacentral:rRNA from 1 species
UACGGAGGGUGCAAGCGUUAUCCGGAUUUACUGGGUUUAAAGGGUGCGUAGGCGGCCAACUAAGUCCGACGUGAAAUCCCCAGGCUUAACCUGGGAACUGCGUCGGAUACUGGAUGGCUUGAAUUCGGGAGAGGGAUGCAGAAUUCCAGGUGUAGCGGUGAAAUGCGUAGAUAUCUGGAGGAAUACCGGUGGCGAAGGCGGCAUCCUGGACCGAGAUUGACGCUGAGGAGCGAAAGCUAGGGGAGCAAACGGGG